CCUAUAAUUUCUCAUGGAUGUAAAAUAGAAUAUUAUUUUAAUUUAUUUUCUCUCUCUUUUAUAUUUAUUUUCUCUCAGAUGUUUGAAAAUUUUGUUUUUUAUUACUGAAGCAAUUCAAUUUAACCACUGAGUAUCUGUAUGUUUUCAAAUUAGAAACAUGAGAUUCCCCUAGAACCCCAAAUGUAGCAUUUGUGUUUUUUCUUGACUAUGGCUACUGAAAAAUUCUGGAUAGUUUUUUUGCAUAAUUUUCUGCAUUAUGGUUUUUAGGAUUUUGUUUUGGAUAAAUCAUGUUAUCACCAGGACAAUCCUGACCAUUCAAUUUUAUUUUUAUAAUCAGGAUUCAAGUUGGGAACUCUCCUCACUCUUAAGGUGCUUCCCCUUUCAGAAAUGUUUGUACAAGCAAAACAAAUGUAACCAAGUUUAGAAGAGAAACAACAAACUGGGGAAAAUGUUUAAUAAAUUUCUCUGAUGGAUGUCUCA
rnacentral:lncRNA from 1 species